UGCUUACUCUCACCCCGUCUGGCUCCCAGACACACUCGCGUUCACACACACACUCCUGUCUGCACGGCCGAAGGAGGAACGGACUGACGAGAAGAAGACAAAGAGAAAGAGUGGGAGACACAGAGAAGCGACGAGAGACCGGAGAUGGGAUGGAAACUGUGAAGGUCAACUUUACAGUGUGACAUUGAAGAGUAUGAAGAACAUGAGACAGAAGAAAGGAGUAAAAACCAUUGCCUCAGAGGGACAAAUCAGCAGUUCCUGCAACCUGUUGAUCAGGACGGGACGUUCACACAGAGCGGAGUAAAGUCUGCCUCCUGUUCAAAUGUACUGUGUUGUUGGCACUGGAAUAUUGCCCUGUUAUGAGGUCUGCCACUGUGGACCGGUUCCAUUUCAAAGGUCAGAUGAAUAUGGUGCCUUUGAAUGGGAUGGCUUAAUUUCUUGCUGCCUGUCUCGCUUGUUAAUUUAAAGGUUAUGUAUCACCACCCGUCUGAAUGAUUUACAGCAUAAUUGUUUCGCCUCCACCUGUUUCCAUACAACUUUCUGCUUAUACAGUAUGUUUGUCAUCUGUCUGCCCAUGUGUGUCAUCUGUCUGUCGUCAUGUCUAUUAGUCUGUAUGCCUCUCUGUGGGGUGUUUGCUGGCAGCACAGAGUGCUAAGUGAGGUCAUAAAAAGUUAUAGAAAAGCAGCCGAGAGGCGUAAUGGCAGUGUUGAAGUAAGGCCGGAGCCGCUCAAACAUUCCUCUCAUUGUUCAGGGGCCCUGUAAGUCUGCGAGCUCCCAAACCUCCAUGAAAGGAAGGGAAUCCAGUGGCUACUGUAGCUAACCCAGUUUCAGCUGCAUUUCAGAGCUGGCUGUCUCUGUCUUCCUGUUCGCCAUCCUGUCUGGUUUCCCCCUGGGGGGGUGCUGGUAUAGACCAAACCGAGCAGCAGAAGGCAAAAAUGGAGAUGAAGGAUGUUAACAUGAGGUUGACCUAUAGACGAAAGGCAAGAUAAGAAUGAGCUAAUUUAGCCCGACAGUGGUGUCUGUCACUUUGCCCUGUAUGUGACCAGCUGUGACUUUAGAUAACCUACAUCCCAAAUGACAUGGGAAAGAGAAGCCACGGGUCAAAUGUGUUGUUAUUUUGCCUUCUACUCCGAGAAAUCAUUAGGCUGGAAAAAUGAGGUGAUGGAUGGAUGAGAAAGGAUGGAGGAGAGGAGGAGGAGCAGAAUGUGGGGAUCUAACCCUCAAGCCUUGGCUUUGGUGGGGUGUCGGUGGGUGUGCCCGGCAGCAAUCUGUACGAAUGGGCCUAGGCUCAGGAAACCGUGGCGUAGUGGAAUAAAAGUGUGUGUGUGUGUGUGUGUGUGUGUGUGUGUGUGUGUGUGUGUGUGUGUGUGUGUGUGUGUGUGUAGCUUCAGCAUCCACUUGUGCAUGUGUGGUUCAGUGGCAGCACGGCAGCUGUACACUAAGUACAGGGCUGGUGGUGGUAAGGGUGUUUGGCAAUGAAUCAGGCUGCGUAUAGGAUUACACGCAUUGGGCUACAGGGAGUGGACCACGGGCUUGGGCUGGGCUCCUCGCUGCUGAGGCUGGCUUUACAGCCCAAAGAGACUUAGAGCUUUUCUCUUUAAAAAAGAAAAGAAAAGAAAAUCUGGAGCUGGAAAUACUUUUUUAUUCUCAGACUAAUGUCCCACAUGUGGCACGUUCCAUUGAUUCCAGGCCAGCCAAUGAAGAGCCGCCUUUAAUUCAGGAAAACUGCAACAUAGAAGGCCCAUAGUAGAGCCCGAGCUCUUGUUUGAAUGUCACUAAAUGUCACAGCCUCAGCAAUGAUUACACCCUCUCACGUAACAUGAAACAAAUACAAUCACAUGCGCACACAUAUCCAGACAGACUCAGUCUGGUAGCAAGUAAGUUAAGGUGUGGUACUGCGUUAUGUUUUACUUGGCUGGCUUUGCAAUUUAACUGCAGUGUUGUUGAUCCUGUGGUUAAUUUUGGUGGAUACUUCAGAGUUUAGUCAGGUUUAAAAAUACGGUCCUGAUUCUUGAGAAUUUUCCUGAUGUGUGAGCUGCCCGUCCUCUCAUCAUUUGGCCAUUUUUGGGCUUUGGUGAUCCACGGCUACUUUUCUGCAUUGUCUUCCCUCGAGUGCGUUUAAUAGGCGUAACAGAUAUGACAGCAAUUAUGGAAAGCAGAUGUGGCAUCUUUACACUUUAAAAAGAAGGAAAUUAACAUGUUACUGUAAUCUUCUUGCUCCGCUGUUGACGUAACGUCUUGAACUUAAAACAUUCAGCGACAUAGAUGAAGUAGAAGCUGGAAACAACCUACCCCCCCCCAAAAAAAUUUAAAAAAUUCUGUGAUGCAGUGGUAACAUAAAUAUAUGUGCCUCACUGUGACACAUAGUUCUUAAUGAAAUGCACAGUCUGGGAAUCGUGCUGCUUACUGUUUGCUCUGUGAACUGGUUCACAGCCCUGAAGUGCGAAUGAUGUCAGUUUGGUAUUUUUACUAUUCAGCGUUUAUGAGAAAGAAUGAAAACCAGCUUACGCACACCCCAUGUUUGCCACUGACAUGACUGUGUUUGCUUAUUGAUAGUGAACAGUGUGUGUGUGUGUGUGUGUGUGUGUGUGUGUGUGUGUGUGUGUGUGUGUGUGUGUGUGUGUGUGUGUGUGUGUGGAGAGGCAGAUUGGGCCUGGCCUGCGAGCAUGUGUGCAUUUCUUCUGUGCAUGCACACGCAAGGGCACGGGGAGAGAGAAGAUAUGUGUUGAAACAACAAGGGGUUGAGAUCCAGCUGUCUCAACAGAGGCUUUUCCACUUAACUGUGUGCCCUUGUGUAAACGGCAAUGUCAAUUCUGAAUUCAGGCUGACGGUCUGAGAAAAACAGCCAAUGGCCACGUCUGCACUUGGACCACCAUACGUCGUGUGCAUGAGCACAUACACGGCAGAACACACACACAGUGUAAACUACACACCGCAAGACCAUCAAAGAACCCACACACGAGGCUAUAAUCGAUGAAGAUGGUCGGUCGCUGAAAGCACUUUAACUUUACUAGAAUACAUCUGCUGGCAGGCGUCACUCAGUGAUAGUGAUUUUUCCUACCCUACACCUCGGUCAGGGUGCAACAUGUUGCCACAGUUGUGAUCUACCAGUAAGCUGCAGACUACAUGCCACAUACUUGUUAUUUCUAACCAUAACAAACAUCCAGUUUGAGAAGCGAGUAACAGGAGGUCUGCCUGUAUCCUCAAAAAACAAAAAAACAAAAAAAAAAAAAACCCAGGCAGGC